GGAUGUAGAUCAGUGGUUAGAAUAUCUGCUUUGCAUCCAGAAGGUCCCAGGUCCAACCCCUGGGAUCUCCA